GCGAUACAGGGUGACAGCCCCGUACACAAAAAUGCACAUGCUGUGAGCUCGAUGAGUAGGGCGGGACACGUGGUAUCCUGUCUGAAUAUGGGGGGACCAUCCUCCAAGGCUAAAUACUCCUGACUGACCGAUAGUGAACCAGUACCGUGAGGGAAAGGCGAAAAGAACCCCGGCGAGGGGAGUGAAAAAGAACCUGAAACCGUGUACGUACAAGCAGUGGGAGCACAGAGCAAUCUGUGUGACUGCGUACCUUUUGUAUAAUGGGUCAGCGACUUAUAUUCUGUAGCAAGGUUAACCGAAUAGGGGAGCCGAAGGGAAACCGAGUCUUAACUGGGCGUUAAGUUGCAGGGUAUAGACCCGAAACCCGGUGAUCUAGCCAUGGGCAGGUUGAAGGUUGGGUAACACUAACUGGAGGACCGAACCGACUAAUGUUGAAAAAUUAGCGGAUGACUUGUGGCUGGGGGUGAAAGGCCAAUCAAACCGGGAGAUAGCUGGUUCUCCCCGAAAGCUAUUUAGGUAGCGCCUCGUGAAUUCAUCUCCGGGGGUAGAGCACUGUUUCGGCAAGGGGGUCAUCCCGACUUACCAACCCGAUGCAAACUGCGAAUACCGGAGAAUGUUAUCACGGGAGACACACGGCGGGUGCUAACGUCCGUCGUGAAGAGGGAAACAACCCAGACCGCCAGCUAAGGUCCCAAAGUCAUGGUUAAGUGGGAAACGAUGUGGGAAGGCCCAGACAGCCAGGAUGUUGGCUUAGAAGCAGCCAUCAUUUAAAGAAAGCGUAAUAGCUCACUGGUCGAGUCGGCCUGCGCGGAAGAUGUAACGGGGCUAAACCAUGCAC
rnacentral:rRNA from 1 species